GUAAAGGUACCUUUCUUGGCUGAUCCCUUUCGCUGUAUGGCGUGCUCGUUUGGGUUGGGCGUCGGCUAAGAGUGCUCGGAGCGUGGAUUAACUCUAGUCUCCAAUCAGGUAAUUUCCAGCCUUAGACGGAUCGGGGCUACGAGGGGCUCGGAGGAAGCCACACACACUAUUUAUGUUAUAGUUUUGAUUAUUGCUUUUAAAUGUUUUUAUGUGGGUUGUUGUAAAGCCGUUGUAAUUUUCUGGAUUUCAAAUUUGGAAUUUUAUUUAUUGUUCUUAUAAUUGCUAGUAUUAGAA